rnacentral:rRNA from 1 species
GAUGAACGCUAGCGAUAGGCUUAACACAUGCAAGUCGAGGGGCAGCACAUGAGUGGCAACACGAUGGUGGCGACCGGCGCACGGGUGAGUAACACGUAUGCAACCUGCCCAUAACUGGGGGAUAACCCGUCGAAAGGCGGACUAAUACCGCAUGACAACGAUGAUCCGCAUGGUGAUUCGUUUAAAGAUUUAUCGGUUAUGGAUGGGCAUGCGUUCCAUUAGGUAGUUGGCAGGGUAACGGCCUACCAAGCCUACGAUGGAUAGGGGUUCUGAGAGGAAGGGCCCCCACACUGGUACUGAGACACGGACCAGACUCCUACGGGAGGCAGCAGUGAGGAAUAUUGGUCAAUGGGCGAGAGCCUGAAUCAGCCAAAUCGCGUGAAGGAUGAAGGUAUUAUGUAUUGUAAACUUCUUUUGUCGGGGAAUAAAGUGCAGCACGUGUGCUGUUUUGUAUGUACCCGAAGAAUAAGGAUCGGCUAACUCCGUGCCAGCCGCCGCGGUAAGAC